rnacentral:rRNA from 1 species
AGAGUUUGAUCCUGGCUCAGGACGAACGCUGGCGGCACGCCUAAUACAUGCAAGUCGAGCNCGUGAAGCUUCCAGAAAGCUUCGGCGGACGGGAGUGGAUCGAGCGGCGGACGGGUGAGUAACACGUAGGCAACCUGCCUGUAAGAUCGGUAUAACCCCGGGAAACCGGGGCUAAUACCGGAUAGGACCUCGGUCGCAUGACCGUUGGUUGAAAGGUGGCCGCAAGGCUACCGCUUACAGAUGGGCUGCGGCGCAUUAGCUAGUUGGUGAGGUAACGGCUCACCAAGGCGACGAUGCGUAGCCGGCCUGAGAGGGUGACCGGCCACACUGGGACUGAGACACGGCCCAGACUCCUACGGGAGGCAGCAGUAGGGAAUCUUCCGCAAUGGGCGCAAGCCUGACGGAGCGAUGCCGCGUGAGCGAGGAAGGCUUCGGGUCGUAAAGCUCUGUUGUCAGGGAAGAACAAGUACCGUUCGAGAAGGGCGGUACCUUGACGGUACUGACGAGAAAGCCCC